CCUACGGGGUGCAGCAGUAGGGAAUCUUCCACAAUGGACGAAAGCCUGAUGGAGCAACGCCGCGUGAGUGAAGAAGGGUUUCGGCUCGUAAAGCUCUGUUGGCAGUGAAGAAAGAUAGAGGUAGUAACUGGCCUUUAGUUGACGGUAAUUACUUAGAAAGUCACGGCUAACUACGUGCCAGCAGCCGCGGUAAUACGUAGGUGGCAAGCGUUGUCCGGAUUUAUUGGGCGGAAAGCGAGUGCAGGCGGUUCAAUAAGUCUGAUGUGAAAGCCUUGGGCUCAACCGGAGAAUUGCAUUAGACACUGGUGAACUUGAGUACAGAAGAGGUGAGUGGAACUCCAUGUGUAGCGGUGGAAUGCGUAGAUAUAUGGAAGAACACCAGUGGCGAAGGCGGCUCUCUGGUCUGCAACUGACGCUGAGGCUCGAAAGCAUGGGUAGCAAACAGGAUUAGAUACCCCAGUAGUC
rnacentral:rRNA from 1 species